GAUGAACGCUGGCGGCGUGCCUAAUACAUGCAAGUCGAGCGAAUGGAUCAAGAGCUUGCUCUUAUGAAGUUAGCGGCGGACGGGUGAGUAACACAUGGGUAACCUGCCCAUAAGACUGGGAUAACUCCGGGAAACCGGGGCUAAUACCGGAUAACAUUUUGAACCGCAUGGUUCGAAAUUGAAAGGCGGCUUCGGCUGUCACUUAUGGAUGGACCCGCGUCGCAUUAGCUAGUUGGUGAGGUAACGGCUCACCAAGGCAACGAUGCGUAGCCGACCUGGGAGGGGGAUCGGCCACACUGGGACUGCGACACGGCCCAGACUCCUACGGGAGGCAGCAGUAGGGAAUCUUCCGCAAUGGACGAAAGUCUGACGGAGCAACGCCGCGUGAGUGAUGAAGGCUUUCGGGUCGUAAAACUCUGUUGUUAGGGAAGAACAAGUGCUAGUUGAAUAAGCUGGCACCUUGACGGUACCUAACCAGAAAGCCACGGCUAACUACGUGCCAGCCGCCGCGGUAA
rnacentral:rRNA from 1 species